AACGAACGCUGGCGGCAGGCCUCAAACAUGCAAGUCUAGGGGGUGCAGCAAUGCAUCACCGGCGGACGGGUGCGUAACACGUGGGAAUAUACCUUUUGGUUCGGAACAACGCAGGGAAACUUGCGCUAAUACCGAAUGUGCCCUUACGGGGAAAGAUUUAUCGCCAAAGGAUUAGCCCGCGUCCGAUUAGCUAGUUGGUGAGGUAAUGGCUCACCAAGGCUCCGAUCGGUAGCUGUUCUGAGAGGAAGAUCAGCCACACUGGGACUGAGACACGGCC
rnacentral:rRNA from 1 species